CUACGGGGGGCUGCAGUAAGGAAUAUUGGGCAAUGGGCGCAAGCCUGACCCAGCGACACCGCGUGAGUGAUGAAGGCUUUCGGGUUGUAAAGCUCUAACACGUAUUAAGAAGGUGCAGUAUACGAAUAAUGUAUUGUAUCAGACGAAGGUACGAAAUGAAGUCAUGGCUAACUCUGUGCCAGCAGCCGCGGUAAUACAGAGAUGGCAACCGUUGUUCGGAAUCACUGGGCUUAAAGGGCACGUAGGCGGUAUGAUAAGUUGAUUGUGAAAGUAUAUGGCUUACCCAUAUAAUGUCAUUCAAAACUGUCAGACUUGAGAACGGUAGGGGGGAGUGGAACUCCUGGUGGAGCGGUGAAAUGUGUUGAUAUCAGGAGGAACGCCGGAGGCGAAAGCGACUCUCUGGGCCGAAUCUGACGCUGAGGUGCGAAAGCUAGGGUAGCGAACGGGAUUAGAUACCCUCGUAGUC
rnacentral:rRNA from 1 species